rnacentral:rRNA from 2 species
CUUAACCGUAAGGAGGGCGCUUACCACGGUAGGAUUCGUGACUGGGGUGAAGUCGUAACAAGGUAGCCGUAUCGGAAGGUGCGGCUGGAUCACCUCCUUUCUAGA